rnacentral:tRNA from 1 species
GGCCUCGUAGCUUAGUUGGCAGAGCAUUGGACUGGUAUCCCAAAGGUCGCGGGUUCAAUUCCCACCGUUGGUCA